UACGAAGGGGGCUAGCGUUGCUCGGAAUCACUGGGCGUAAAGCGCACGUAGGCGGCUUUCUAAGUCAGGGGUGAAAUCCUGGAGCUCAACUCCAGAACUGCCUUUGAUACUGGAAAGCUUGAGUUCGGGAGAGGUGAGUGGAACUGCGAGUGUAGAGGUGAAAUUCGUAGAUAUUCGCAAGAACACCAGUGGCGAAGGCGGCUCACUGGCCCGAUACUGACGCUGCAGCGCGAAAGCUAGGGGAGCAAACAGG
rnacentral:rRNA from 1 species